ACGGGAUGAUAGGAUGGAGUGUUGGAUAUCUAUAUAUUGCUCAUUCUUAUCCCUCUUUUCUUCUGAUUUGAAAGAGUAAGUUGUUUAUACUAGCAUGGCAAUGUUCUGUACAAGAUUGGAAAGGUAGUAUAGCCCCUUCUCCUGUCUCUUCUGUCUCAUCAUUGUUUUUUCUACUCAGAUUUUCUUGUUCGUGGGAGUUUAGAAUAGUAAUUAUCUGUACUUAUGUAUGUCUCCUUUGCUUAUGAACAUUGUUUCAAUAGUGAUAGCUUUCUGGAAGUUGAACACAUUUUGUAUUCUGUGGAUUGCAGACCCUGUGAUGACCCACAUGCAUUGUCUCGAUGUUUCACUUUUAUGAACUGGUUAAACUAUUUGAUAAUAUAUUUGUAUAAAGUAUUCGGUAUAUGCUAUUUGCUAAUAGCAGAAUAUAGUGGAUGCUUGUGCAUGAAAUCGAGAAGAAAGUUUUGUUCUCUUGCUAGCAUUGAAGAUUACCAAAUAUUUACCUGCUAUUCUUCCCCAUGGGCCACCCCUCCUCCCAAGCAAAAUCCAGCUCUCUGAUUGAAUUUCUUUUAGCCUUGAGAGACUUAUAAAAAGAUAGUAGCUUGAUUUCCCGUCUAUAUUUUCCUUUAUAUGACAGGAUCAUCCACCAGGUACUCUUCCAAACAGUAGUUUAGACUUCCUUUUCAUGAUCUUAUUCUAUUUGGUUGAAGGCUGUUGUAGCUGGGCCUGGAAAUGAACUCAGACUGCCUGUACAUGUUAACGAAACUGCAUAACACAUAUUUGGCUUCUACUUGAUGAACAAUUGUGUACAAUAAUUCAUUUUGUACGAAAGUACUAUCUUUGUAGAAGAGCUCAUUUAGAAGUGUAUGUCGGAUUUUCUUUUGUUAUCCUUGGCAUAGACGAACAGAUCAUGUUAUUUUCAUUUCUUAAUUCAAUCAUGUCUGCCCAUCAGUUUUACAGGUCUUAGAUGUAUCUUCUUUAUUUCCUCACCAAAACAGAGGACAGACAUAAAGUUGGGUGGCAUCACCAAUGAUGAAAUGAAAAGCCAUUUACAGUUACUCCUUUCGUAUAUGUACAUCAGUAUUCUUUACCAAUUCUCUUAUGUACAUGGCAUUUGAUGUUGGACAUAUUGGCUGCCAAGUCUACUAAUGUGCUUUUUUCUGUAAUAUUUUUGCUUUAUUUGGAGAUGGAAAUUUGGUGGAAUGUGGAAUCAAGUUUGUUGAGAAGUGAAAGUUCAAACAGGAUGAGGUUGCAAGGAGAAUAUGAAAUAAUCUCUAGACUUCCAAGUUAGUUAGACUGAAGCAUGAAGCUCAUGAUGAAUUUUCUUAUAUUACCUUCAUACAGAUAUCAGAUAAAUAAUGUUGGCCUACCUAUUCGAAAAUUCAUAAUUAUUGCGCUGCUUUCUUGCAGGAAGAUUCCAAGGAAAACUGCAUUUUGAGGAAAAGAUGCAAAAAUUCAAGGAUAAGUUCCUUCUCUAAGGAAGAAAGAGAGUGCCACAACUAUUAUUUCAGUUCGGAAAUUCCUUGGGGGAACAGCCAAGAUAGAGAGACCAGUGUCUGGCCUGCUACUGCUUCAGAUGGAUAAUACGACGUUCCUACUCUCCUUCCUGCUUUCCAUUUCCUCUUUAAAGCUCUGUUCAUUCUUCAACCCCAGGCCAAAGAAAUGUUACAGCAGUUAUCUUUAUGUUGGCUUGUCACCAACUAAAUGCAUGUUAAAGUACUCUGUAUACACACACAUGUGAAAUUCUUUAAUUUGUUCCAAUGUAAUUGAUUUGUUUUACAAGUGUGCAUCUUUUCACAAUGGAGCUGCUAUAGAUUAAGAUUGUUGAUGAAUAUGCAAUUUGUUGUAAAAAAUUGAGUAUUUCAGUUCAAG
rnacentral:lncRNA from 1 species